AAUAAUAAGAAAUGUCAUCUAUAGUUUACGCGCCGAAACUUUGCACAUCAAAUAACAAUAGUAAUAUUUUUAUUUAGCUUUGUUCGAUAUACAAUAGGUAUAAUACUGUGACUUUCAACAGCUACGGCCAUGACUUCAAGAAGAGUCCAAGAAAGAAUAAAUGAUUUCUUUUGUGUUCCCGGCAUUUUUGUCGUUUACUUUGUUUUCGGCAUCUUUGUUGUGUCUCACUUUGUUUGAUUAGUUUCCCACAUGUGCGUUUGGUGGCGCCGAAGCGUGUUAGUUACAUGUAUUGCCGGAGAACGUGUUACAGCCGUAACGAUAUCGUCGUAAUUGCUAUUAUUGCGCCAAAGCAAAUUGGCGACAGGUAUGGUCAAAAUAUGAACUAGGAAACAAGCAACGGUAUCUGUCGCCACCGUGCAUCUAUCGUAUCGGGUUAGUUAUUCCCCUCUCACGCAUACAUAAUUGGUUUCGUUGGAUUAUAUUGCACCGUACUAAACUGUUACAGUGUUUUUGUUUAUUUCAUUAUUACUUUUUAUAAAUUAUGAUUGCAGUUGUUCGUGCAGCCAUAGAUGAAUCGAUCUUUGUUUCGAUAAAAUAAAGAAGGAAUAGUGAAAUAGAUUUGUUGUUAAUUUUUUUCGGUUAAUUUAAAUUUGUUUGCGUUUUAUGAUUUUAAAAAACUUUUAGGAAUAUGCCUGUAUGAAUAACUUGGGUGCAAAGGAGUCAUAGCGUCAAUAUUU